AGAGUUUGAUCCUGGCUCAGGAUGAACGCUGGCGGCGUGCUUAACACAUGCAAGUCGAACGAUGAUCCCCAGCUUGCUGGGGGGGAUUAGUGGCGAACGGGUGAGUAAACACGUGAGUAACCUGCCCUUAACUCUGGGAUAAGCYUGGGAAACUGGGUCUAAUACCGGAUAUGACUCCUCAUCGCAUGGUGGGGGKGUGAAAGCUUUAUUGUGGUUUUGGAUGGACUCGCGGCCUAUCAGCUUGUUGGUGAGGUAAUGGCUCACCAAGGCGACGACGGGUAGCCGGCCUGAGAGGGUGACCGGCCACACUGGGACUGAGACGCGGCCCAGACUCCUACGGGAGGCAGCAGUGGGGAAUAUUGCACAAUGGGCGAAAGCCUGAUGCAGCGACGCCGCGUGAGGGAUGACGGCCUUCGGGUUGUAAACCUCUUUCAGUAGGGAAGAAGCGAAAGUGACGGUACCUGCAGAAGAAGCGCCGGCUAACUACGUGCCAACCGCCGCGGUAAUA
rnacentral:rRNA from 1 species